rnacentral:rRNA from 1 species
GGGUCAGUAGGUUGGUCGUGCCACCGGUACGUACUGGUCUCACUGACUCCUCCUUCCUGAAGAACCGUAAUGCCAUUAAUUUGGUGUUGCGGGGAAACAGGACUGUUACUUUGAAAAAAUUAGAGUGUUUAAAGCAAGCUAACGCUUGAAUACAUUAGCAUGGAAUAAUGAAAUAGUACGAUCGAUCCUAUUUUGUUGGUUUCUAGGAUUGACGUA